AGGAGGGGCCGUCAGGCGGGGAUACAGCCUGGAAGGUGCGUGUGGGGCUGGGUCUCGGAGUGGGAGACGUGGAGUGCAGGUAAUGCAUGUCCAUGGUACACAAAUUCACAAGGUUUGUAAAUGAGAAAAGACGUGAGGUUCCUUUUGUUCUUUACCUGUGGCCUCCCUGCCCUACACGGGGACUCUAGGGUGGAAUGUAGCAAAGCCCAUCCACCAGCCAUGUACUACCCCCCAACCCGGCCAGGCUGGAGCGACCGUGUCUGGGGAGCCGAGCCCCGCUUCUCGCUGCGGUGAGCCCGGACUGGGGCACGCACUGCGCAGACUCCCCGCUGCAGUGGGCGGAGCUCCCACAGGCCCCGCCCCCUCCUCCCACCCUCGUUCAGCCUGUCCAGACAGAAGCUGGGGCCCACCGGAGGUAGCUGCAGACGCCUGAGAGCGAGGCCGAGGCCCCUCAGGGUUUGGAGACCCUGACACACCCACCUUCUCACCUGGGCUCUGCGUAU
rnacentral:lncRNA from 1 species